rnacentral:rRNA from 1 species
AUUGAACGCUGGCGGCAGGCUUAACACAUGCAAGUCGAGCGGAGAUGAGGUGCUUGCACCUUAUCUUAGCGGCGGACGGGUGAGUAAUGCUUAGGAAUCUACCAUUUAGUGGGGGACAACAUUCCGAAAGGAAUGCUAAUACCGCAUACGUCCUACGGGAGAAAGCAGGGGAUCUUCGGACCUUGCGCUAAAUGAUGAGCCUAAGUCGGAUUAGCUAGUUGGUGGGGUAAAGGCCUACCAAGGCGACGAUCUGUAGCGGGUCUGAGAGGAUGAUCCGCCACACUGGGACUGAGACACGGCCCAGACUCCUACGGGAGGCAGCAGUGGGGAAUAUUGGACAAUGGGGGGAACCCUGAUCCAGCCAUGCCGCGUGUGUGAAGAAGGCCUUAUGGUUGUAAAGCACUCUAAGCGAGGAGGAGGCUACUGAGACUAAUACUCUUGGAUAGUGGACGUUACUCGCAGAAUAAGCACCGGCUAACUCUGUG